rnacentral:rRNA from 1 species
CAGCAGCCGCGGUAAUACGUAGGGUGCAAGCGUUGUCCGGAAUUAUUGGGCGUAAAGAGCUCGUAGGCGGUUUGUCGCGUCUGCUGUGAAAACGCGAGGCUCAACCUCGCGCCUGCAGUGGGUACGGGCAGACUAGAGUGUGGUAGGGGAGAUUGGAAUUCCUGGUGUAGCGGUGGAAUGCGCAGAUAUCAGGAGGAACACCGAUGGCGAAGGCAGAUCUCUGGGCCAUUACUGACGCUGAGGAGCGAAAGCGUGGGGAGCGAACAGGAUUAGAUACCCGAGUAGUCCCUGUCUCUUAUAA